UCCAUAUCCAAUUGAACGAGUUCGGCUAUGCGUGCGGAGAUUUUUUCCUCAUUGUACCGUUAAUUUGACGCUCUUCCCAAGGCGCCCCACCUGUACAAUUUGCAAUUUCGUUGUUUGUUGGGUUUAAUAGCUUGGGUACAAUUCGCCAGAGUUGUUCAGACCAGGAAAUCUCCUUCGACGUCAAGAAUUCGGCUGCUAAUUCUGCAGAACAACACAUUUUCCGCAUUCCACAGAACAACACGUUUUCCGAAUUCCACGGUUUACGUGCAGUGAAGUGACUGCAUUUGUUGGCAUUUUUUUUUUGAGUAGUUUUUUGCCGUGUUUGUUUCUGCCUCCAGACGAAGGGAAGUGAAAAUAAAAUUUCAGAAAAGUUCUUGAAAGGCAACCGCGCGGCAUCGAAGUGCGGCUCAUCGUUGUGGAGCUGAGCAAGCAGAAUCCUCAAUUGACAAGGCUUAUUCAAGAGCAUAAUCCGAUUUUCUAUGCUUAUUGAAAGAACUAGUCAAAGGUGUAGAAGGAUUUUGUUAAUGAUCUUACUGGAGUAAUGCCCAGGUCAUCAAUAUUACCCCAGAAGAAUGCUAUGCAAUUGGAGUGGAAAUGUUCAGCCAAUGCUAUAGGAGCUGAACAAGCAGAAUCUUCAAGUGAUGAGGUUUAUCCCAGCGAACCAAUCUGAUUUUCUUUGCUUACUGAAAGAAUUAAUCAAAGGUGGAGACAGUGGAUGCAAGAUAAGCUAAGCCCUCAAGAUGGAGGGAGAGUAUCAUCAAGGAGAGGAUUGCAAACUUCGGAAGAGACCAAACUUGCUUGGCUUGUUAGUUAGCAUGCUGUCGAUCUUAUCCUUUUAUCGUCUUUGUGAGUUGCAUUGGAUGCAGGAUAAGCUAAGCCCUCAAGAGGGAGGAGAGUAUCAUCAAGGAGAGGAUUGCAGACUUCGGAAGAGAUCAAACUUGCUUGGCUUGUUAGUUAGUUGCUAGUUCAUCUGCAUCUGAGAAGAAUUGGAGCACAAUUUCUUUCAACCACUCAGCAAAGAACAAUAAAUUGCACUCAAAAAGAAUGGAGAACUUAGUAUAUGUGCAUUCCGACUUGCAUCUCCUUUCACACAAACAACAUGACUACAAGGAAGGGGAGACAAAGUUGAGGGAUACAGAACCAAAGCAUACUGAAUUGGAUGCAUCCACUUCCCAAGAUAUUGCAUUUGAGGAGUCUGAAAGAUAGCACACUCUUAGUGCAAGUGGCACUGACAAUGGCACUAGCACUACUUUUGGUUCAUCCAAUGUUCCUACAUCAUCUAAUGUCAAUGAUGAUGAUGAUGAUAUUGAUGAUUUGGAAAAUACAUUUGAUGAUUAAAACUCAAAACUAUUUGUUGAGCUUGAUAUUAUUAUUUUGAUAUUGAACUUGAAGUUUGAAUGAUAAAAAUUUACUGUGCAUGUUUU